UUGUGGAAUAACUUUCCGAAAGGGGAGCUAAUACCGCAUAACAUCAUGAAUGGGCAUCCAUAUAUGAUCAAAGCGGGGGAUCGCAAGACCUCGCGCCUGUUGAGGAGUCCGCGGCUGAUUAGCUAGUUGGUGAGGUAACGGCUCACCAAGGCAUCGAUCAGUAGCCGGCCUGAGAGGGCGACCGGCCACACUGGCACUGAAACACGGGCCAG
rnacentral:rRNA from 1 species